GGAUGCACGCUGCCAGCCCCUGAAGAGGGAGAGCCUGCGCGCGCUAGGAGUCAGCCAAGCUGAGACACUACCUGGGACCCCGAGGAGGACGCCACAGGGGAGAAACAGAUCGGAGGACCCCCUGCCCCAGAUGAACUGGUAUUCACGCUGUUUCCACACACACUUCCACUUUCUGGGGAUGCCACCCCAAAACUCCUCUAUAAAGCCACUCCAUCAAACGUCGCUUCUGAUGCAAGUGGUCAACCACCUAAUGAGGGCCAGACGGAGGGACAGUCAGAAGUUUGCUACAGUUGUUACAGUUUAAUUAAUUAAUUCAGCACUCAUUGAACCUGCCAAGAACAUAUGGCUGACCCCCGCUACCAUCCCGCCCACAUCUAAGAAAGCAGACAAAAAAUACUACAUCCCUCCAAAAGAGAUGGACUUUCUUUUCACACACCCUUAGCCAAAUUCAUUGGUAGUUAAUGCAGUUAACAAAAAGGACAAACAACAUUCCUCCAGAACCACCCCUUCUGAUAAGGAGUGGAAAUGAGUAGACUUACUCGGCCACAACGCCUACAUAUCAGCAACACUUCACUUCCGAACCGCCAACUAUGAAGCCUUUAUGGCAAAAUAUGACUACGUAAACUAUUCCAAAUUUUCUGACUUUGA